rnacentral:rRNA from 1 species
CUAAGAAUAUUCCGCAAUGGACGGAAGUCUGACGGAGCGACGCCGCGUGGAUGAAGAAGGCCGAAAGGUUGUAAAGUUCUUUUGCUGGGGAAGAAUAACCGCAGGAGGGAAUGCCUGUGGGAUGACAAGAACCGGCGAAUAAGCCCCGGCCAACUACGUGCCAGCAGCCGCGGUAACACGUAGGGGGCGAGCGUUGUUCGGAAUUACUGGGCGUAAAGGGCAUGUAGGCGGCUUGGAAAGCCUGGCGUGAAAGUCUGCAGCUUAACUGCAGGGGUGCGCUGGGAACUGCUGAGCUUGAGUGACGGAGAGGGAGCUGGAAUUCCUGGUGUAGGGGUGAAAUCUGUAGAUAUCAGGAAGAACACCGAUGGCGAAGGCAAGCUCCUGGCCGAUGACUGACGCUGAGGUGCGAAAGUGUGGGGAUCAAAACAGGAUUAGAUACCCUGGUAGUCCACACAGUCAACGAUGUGCACUAGGUGCUGGGGCGGUAGCUUCGGUGCCGGAGCGAAACGUGGUAAGUGCACCGCCUGGGGAGUAUGCUCGCAAGGGUGAAACUCAAAUGAAUUGACGGGGGUCAUANCUG